GGCUGUCUCUUCACUCUCCCUCCCGUCAUUUAAUUUGUUGGGGCUGGGAUGCUUGUGAUCGGUUGCCUGUGUAGUUCUACCCUGUUGUGGGUAGCGAAGUUGCCCCUCAAUUGAUAUUUGCUUGCCUGUCUGACAUUUUUUGUCGUUUGGGUAGCCGAAAUGAUGGCGAAAUCCUUGUGUAGGUGCGUGGUCGAAUGGCCUUGUUGCUAUCACUUGUAUUUUUGCCGCCUCUCACAGAUGCAGUGCCUAGUGCUAAGCUCUGCGUGACUUUACUCCGCAGACUUCGGGAGGUCCCUUGUACGAAUCAUUGCGACGUGGGCGCCGUUUGUCGUGUUGCUUGUUUGGCACGCAAAUCGUAUUGUUCUGUCUGGAGUCGGGAUGACGAAGGGCAAGAAUGAAGUGUCCGAAG
rnacentral:misc_RNA from 1 species